UACGAAGGGGGCUAGCGUUGCUCGGAAUCACUGGGCGUAAAGGGUGCGUAGGCGGCGGGGUAAGUUUGAUGUGAAAUCCUGAGGCUCAACCUUGGAACUGCAUUGAAUACUGCCUUGCUAGAGAACUGGAGAGGAGACUGGAAUUUACGGUGUAGCAGUGAAAUGCGCAGAUAUCGGGAGGAACACCGGUGGCGAAGGCGGUUCUCUGGGCCUUACCUGACGCUGAGGAGCGAAAGCGUGGGGAGCGAACAGG
rnacentral:rRNA from 1 species